UACGGAGGGGGCGAGCGUUGUCCGAAGUUACUGGGCGUAAAGCGCGCGUAGGCGGGUUGGUAAGUCCGCUGUGAAAGCCCGGAGCUCAACUCCGGAGGGUCGGUGGAUACUGCCAGUCUUGAAGGUGCUAGGGGGAGAUGGAAUUAUCGGUGUAGCGGUGAAAUGCGUAGAGAUCGGUAGGAACACCAGUGGCGAAGGCGGUCUCCUGGGGCAUACUUGACGCUGAGGCGCGAAAGCUGGGGGAGCGAACGGG
rnacentral:rRNA from 1 species